rnacentral:lncRNA from 1 species
AUCCUCUGGGUCACGCCCCCGAGGCCGCAAGGCGUCUGAGAAGCAGCCCCGGCUCUGACCCGCCAGCCCUCGGAAGAAGCAGACCCUGGCCGGUCCAUGGCAGUGGCCCGAGGGGCACCAGCGCGGAGCACCAGCGACCCCCAAGGAACGACGUUGCAGAUGAUGCUCUACCAAGAGUUGGAAGGACUCCCCAGGGAAUCCCACAAGACACUGCGCUUCCUAUGCCUCCUUUCCCUCGUUUAAAAAAUGGGGAUAAGAAGGUUGGCUACUGCUCCGACAGCCCUCACAAUGGAAGAGUAGCACUUCAUUUGUGGGUUAACAAAGGGCAACGCUGAAAUCUCCACUUCCACUAUUGAAUGGAACUGUGUCAUAAUAUCUGUUAGAGGCGUGCAAACUCGGCCACAAGGUCAUGGUCAUACGUUAUUGUUGGUCAAAAGCCGCAGCCCUACCUGAGGCUUUGAGAGAUAUGAACACCAAUGACUUUUCUUUUCCUGACUCCCGAAAUACCAAGAAAAAGCAACUUCCCCAAAUGGACAGAAACAGAAAGUACCCUUGGUUGAACACAGAGGCCUGGUUCCAGCCAUCGUUAGACGUGGGAAGGAACUCAGACCCCCUCUCCUACCUCAUCCCCAACCCCUUCCCCACACGUCACCCUUUCACAGAGAAGGAACCAGAGCCACCAAGGGCUGAGAGAGGACUUGAUAAGGAUUCCAGUCUUCUGUCUCCCCUGUCCCCACUUUUUCCACCACAAAAAUAUGGACAUUUGGAAGAAGAGGAGAAGAGGGAAGGUACACACUGUGCAAAGGAAGAAAAUGGCAGAAAUGCUCUGGAAUCAGGAAUUCAGGAGCAAGAAUGACACUGUGUGCCAGAUGGAAAUGUUGGAUUAGGAGAGCACUUGGAAAGGCAAAUAAUCUGCCAGAGAAAUUAUGGGAUGCCUGCCUUCUGAAAAUGGAGGAAAACUGCAAAAGAGUGGCUCAUUGGUGCUCACUCCUAGGGCUCUGAGCAUCCCAAGAAGCCAACUUGGUCCCAUCGUACAUCCCCUCAGAAGUAGGCAUUCUCCUCUCCACCUACAGCUGUGGCCCAGAUGUGGAGCCUGCAUGUUAUGCCACGCCGUCAACACUGAGUUCUGUCUGCGUCUCCCUGUCACAGAUCUGAUCAGCACCUGACACCUAUCCAUUCUCCAUUUCCCACCUCCCCAAAGCUGCUGGAAAAACUCUGAAAGGUACCUCUGUCACUCAUUAAGCAUCUGAUUAUGUACCUCUUUCUACAACUCCUUUGUUGCUUUGUUUUAAAAUCUAUGGCUCUUUGAAAUCACUCUCCUUCCUUUCACUGCCUAAUGUUUUCAAAGAGGAGUCUACCCCUGCCUCCACUUCCUCAUCUUACAUUUAUUCCUCAAUUCUCUGAACAGAGACCACCAGGGAAACCCCAAAUGUCAACUCCAAUGGUUUCAUUUUCUUACCUCACUACAGCAUUUGGCACCACUCCUUCUUGAAAAUCCCCUCCUUGGCUUCUCCUCCACCUCUCACCAUGAUUUCUGUUUUCUUCUUCUGGCUUCAUUUCUUCAUCAUCUCUUAAACAUUACAAUGCUUGAGAUUUCAGAUAAGGCUGCUUCUCUUCUCCCUGGGCAAUCUCAUCCAUUCCCAUCAUACUGAUCCCUCCCAAACUAUCGCCCAGACUUCUCUCUUGAGCUCCAGAUCUGUAAUUCCAAGUGUUUUCUGUACACCCAUACCUAGAUAAUCAAUCCAAAAGCCUUUUAAUUACUCCAUGACCUAAAAUAAAUUCCUCAUCUUCUCCCAAA